UACGUAGGGUGCAAGCGUUAAUCGGAAUUACUGGGCGUAAAGCGUGCGCAGGCGGUUUUGUAAGUCUGUCGUGAAAUCCCCGGGCUCAACCUGGGAAUGGCAUUUGUGACUGGAAGGCUAGAGUGUGUCAGAGGGGGGUAGAAUUCCACGUGUAGCAGUGAAAUGCGUAGAGAUGUGGAGGAAUACCGAUGGCGAAGGCAGCCCCCUGGGAUAACACUGACGCUCAUGCACGAAAGCGUGGGGAGCAAACAGG
rnacentral:rRNA from 1 species